rnacentral:rRNA from 1 species
CCUACGGGUGGCAGCAGUGGGGAAUAUUGCACAAUGGGGGAAACCCUGAUGCAGCGACGCCGCGUGAGUGAAGAAGUAUUUCGGUACGUAAAGCUCUAUCAGCAGGGAAGAAAAUGACGGUACCUGACUAAGAAGCCCCGGCUAACUACGUGCCAGCAGCCGCGGUAAUACGUAGGGGGCAAGCGUUAUCCGGAUUUACUGGGUGUAAAGGGAGCGUAGGCGGCAGCGGAAGUCUGGAGUGAAAUCCCAUGGCUUAACCAUGGAACUGCUUUGGAAACUGUGCAGCUAGAGUGCAGGAGAGGUAAGCGGAAUUCCUGGUGUAGCGGUGAAAUGCGUAGAUAUUAGGAGGAACACCGGUGGCGAAGGCAGCUUACUGGACUGUAACUGACGUUGAGGCUCGAAAGCGUGGGGAGCAAACAGGAUUAGAUACCCGGGUAGUC